rnacentral:rRNA from 1 species
UACGAAGGGGGCUAGCGUUGCUCGGAAUCACUGGGCGUAAAGCGCACGUAGGCGGCUUUUUAAGUCAGGGGUGAAAUCCUGGAGCUCAACUCCAGAACUGCCUUUGAUACUGAGAAGCUUGAGUCCGGGAGAGGUGAGUGGAACUGCGAGUGUAGAGGUGAAAUUCGUAGAUAUUCGGAGGAACACCAGUGGCGAAGGCGACUCGCUGGACUGAUACUGACGCUGAGGUGCGAAAGCGUGGGGAGCAAACAGG